rnacentral:rRNA from 1 species
GACAGCAGUCGCCACGGUAAUACGAAGGGUGCAAGCGUUACUCGGAAUUACUGGGCGUAAAGCGUGCGUAGGUGGUGGUUUAAGUCCGUUGUGAAAGCCCUGGGCUCAACCUGGGAAUUGCAGUGGAUACUGGGUCACUAGAGUGUGGUAGAGGAUAGUGGAAUUUCCGGUGUAGCAGUGAAAUGCGUAGAGAUCGGAAGGAACAUCUGUGGCGAAGGCGACUAUCUGGGCCAACACUGACACUGAGGCACGAAAGCGUGGGGAGCAAACAGGAUUAGAUACCCCAGUAGUCCCUGUCUCUUAUAC